rnacentral:rRNA from 1 species
ACGAAUCCCUUCGGGGAUUAGUGGCGGACGGGUGAGUAGCGCGUGAGAAUCUGCCUUCAGGUUCGGGACAACCACUGGAAACGGUGGCUAAUACCGAAUGUGCCGCAACGUGAAAGAUUUAUCGCCUGAAGAUGAGCUCGCGUCCGAUUAGCUAGUUGGUGAGGUAAAAGCUCACCAAGGCGACGAUCGGUAGCUGGUCUGAGAGGAUGACCAGCCACACUGGGACUGAGACACGGCCCAGACUCCUACGGGAGGCAGCAGUGGGGAAUUUUCCGCAAUGGGCGCAAGCCUGACGGAGCAAGACCGCGUGAGGGAGGAAGGCUCUUGGGUUGUAAACCUCUUUUCUCAGGGAAGAAGAAAGUGACGGUACCUGAGGAAUCAGCCUCGGCUAACUCCGUGCCAGCAGCCGCGGUAAUACGGAGGAGGCAAGCGUUAUCCGGAAUUAUUGGGCGUAAAGCGUCCGUAGGUGGUUAUGUAAGUCUGCUGUCAAAGCACAGGGCUUAGCCCUGUAAAGGCAGUGGAAACUACAAGACUCGAGUGCGGUAGGGGCAGAGGGAAUUCCCAGUGUAGCGGUGAAAUGCGUAGAGAUUGGGAAGAACACCUGUGGCGAAAGCGCUCUGCUGGACCGCAACUGACACUCAGGGACGAAAGCUAGGGGAGCGAAUGGGAUUAGAUACCCCAGUAGUCCUAGCCGUAAACGAUGGAUACUAG